AUGCUCACUUUGGUGGCACAUAUACUAAAAUUGGAAGCAUCCAGAGAAAAUUUGCCAGGCCCCUGCACAAUGGUGACAUCACGUUUAUGAAGUGCACCAGAAUUUU
ensembl:snRNA U6 U6 spliceosomal RNA